UACGUAGGGGGCAAGCGUUGUCCGGAAUUAUUGGGCGUAAAGAGCGUGUAGGCGGUCCGGUAAGUCGGCUGUGAAAGUCCAGGGCUCAACCCUGGGAUGCCGGUCGAUACUGCCGGACUAGAGUUCGGAAGAGGCGAGUGGAAUUCCCGGUGUAGCGGUGAAAUGCGCAGAUAUCGGGAGGAACACCUAUGGCGAAGGCAGCUCGCUGGGACGUUACUGACGCUGAGA
rnacentral:rRNA from 1 species